AUUGAACGCUGGCGGCAUGCUUUACACAUGCAAGUCGAACGGUAACAGGCCUUCGGGUGCUGACGAGUGGCGAACGGGUGAGUAAUGCAUCGGAACGUACCCAGAGGUGGGGGAUAACGCAGCGAAAGCUGUGCUAAUAGCGCAUGUGAUCUGAGGAUGAAAGCGGGGGACCGAGCAGCAAUGUUUGGCCUCGCGCCUUUGGAGCGGCCGAUGUCGGAUUAGCUAGUUGGUGGGGUAAAGGCCUACCAAGGCGACGAUCCGUAGCUGGUCUGAGAGGACGACCAGCCACACUGGGACUGAGACACGGCCCAGACUCCUACGGGAGGCAGCAGUGGGGAAUUUUGGACAAUGGGCGCAAGCCUGAUCCAGCAAUGCCGCGUGCGGGAAGAAGGCCUUCGGGUUGUAAACCGCUUUUGGCAGGAACGAAACGGUGUCCGCUAAUACCGGGCGCUAAUGACGGUACCUGCAGAAUAAGCACCGGCUAACUACGUG
rnacentral:rRNA from 1 species